GUCAAACAUGUUUUUAUUUGGGGAUGUGCUCUGCUAUGACUAAUUUCAAAGUCAUUUAAAUGGACAUUUUGUAACUGACUAGUCGACUCAUCUAAAAGUAAGAAAACGUCAGAAAAUAGUCAAAAACAUUGUGUGCAGUAUGCAAUCCUCUUUAAAAUACUUUAUUCAUGAACAAUUCUUAAAUUAUUAGAUACAUUGUUAUUCGAGUUGCUCUCAUUUUCCAUCAAACCGUUAAAAUUUACAACACUGAUGGCAACAAAAGCGGCAGACGUGGUGAAUGAACAUCCUAAUUCACUCUCAGACAUUAGGUGGCGCUUUUGGACCACUGUGUGUUACCACUGUGAACGCAACAUCGCUGAGCUGAGCUGAUAAACACUAUUUUAUUAAGCAUUGUACCAUUAAAGAUUAAAAUGUCAACAAAAUCUUUCUGAAGAAACUCACUGAGUGACACGAAAAAAACGUGUAUGCAAGGUCUGAGAGGUAAAAUGAAAUUAAUUUGUUAUCCGCUCCAGAUAUCCACUUUUUUAAAUAAUAUAUUAUUUCUGAAAAGUAGCCUAACAUUAAAAAACUAUUUAAAAACACUAAUUUCGACUAGUUGACUAGUAUUUCCAGCAGUUCUGCUCUUCUACAUUGACUAUGAUUCCAGAUGUGUGCACACCUCUUUAACUUGGGCCUGGAGUUCCUGGUUGAGAUUGCGCAGGGUUCUCAUGGUCUUCACAUUCCUGAACAACACAGAUACGGUUGCAAUAAGGGACUGUAUGCACCCAGUGGUUGAUCUGCAGGAAGGAGCCGCUGGCACUCAGAGCACUCACAGGUCGGACUGCACGUACAGGUCUUCGAGGAGGGUGCGUGGGUUUAGAAACUCCUUUAAUCUCCUCAAUGCUUUCGAAUCGGCCGCUCAUGUUGUUGCUGCUGUGAGAAAGAGACUUAAAAGUACCACUGUCUGAAGCAGGGGUCCUCAGUGAAGUCAGAGCCUGAAGCUCUCCAUGAGAGCUGGCCCUUAAGUUCAUCGCUCUAAAAGGAAAUGCAAACCAAAUGCAAACUUUAAAUUUUGAGCCGUUGUGAAAUAUGUUUUCCUCCUGCAGACCCAAAGUCCCUGUAGACGUGAAUAGAAUGGGAACUAAGGAGACUCACCAACAUGCAGCCUAGUUCAAUAAUUUAUGAGGAAAUGUUAUACCAACUCACAGGGAGCAGAAACUCUACGCUACCACAAGGGAUCAAACACAGCUCAUCUCAUCCCUGACUAAUUGCACCAUAGUCUCUCAGCAGCCUGAAAUGAGCUGGUUAGGGUUAACACCAUACUGGUAAUGAUGACAGAACUGAAGACUGUCUAGAUUUUUACAUUUGUGACUGGUGUUUACCAAGAGUCUGUGAUAUUCUGAUCAUGUGAUAUUCUGUGAUAUUCUGAUAUAUUACAUUCUGAACAGUCUAUAUCAGUCUCUUGGAAAUUCUCCAUUUUAUCAUCCAUCAGGCAAAAAUGUUGAACCCAUCUUACAUCUCAGGUAUGGAUUGUAGUACAAAUUACUUCAGAGGAUUUCAGUAUUAUUAUAAUUGCAAUCAGUGCUGGUCUUAGACUUCUGGGGUCCCUAAGCAAAAUUUGUCAGGGUGCCCCGUCAUGUUGAUUCUUGUUAAAGUUACUAAAGUUAUCCAGUGAAGAGCAGUGAAUGAUUCUCUCAUUUUCUUUUGUUGUUUGAUUAAUGACAGAGACAGCAGCAGUCUUAUUAGGCUGCUGUCAUUUUAAGACCGAAUGCACAGAUCUAAUAUACUGACAAGCCCUCGAUUACUUUCCCAACUGUUUAUGUUCACUUUAGACAUGGUUGAUUUUUGUGUGUAUUUGUCCACAAACCACAAGCCCAAUGUAGUCUGUAUGUUUCACUCUGUCUUGGAUCACGGGCACAGAAAGCCUUCUGAGGAACAGUAUCUCUUUCCGAAAGGAGAUAUGAUGUAGGAAGGGCAACAGUGCAGCACUUUAAAAGAACAGAAUGCGGCAUUGCAGUUUCUUAAUCGUUGGAAGCCAAAAUCAAGAACGAAACAAAAUUUCAUUAAUCGCACCACCCUAAUCAUUAAAUCAUCUUUGAGAGCACGGGGCCCCCUGGUGGUUCAGGGGCCUUAAGCAACUUGCAUUCUUUGUGUAUAGAGAGAAUAGUACUAGCUGCAAUAACGUUGCAGUUUUCAUCUGUUGCUUAGUGGGUUGCAAGGGGCUGUUCAAAAAGAACAUGCUUUUGCAUUCAACUUAAGGCCCGUUCACACAUUAUGUGAUUUUGCGUUCCUCUGUGCUGGUUUUCCAUUGUUUCUCUAUGUAAUCAUGCGCUAGAGGGACAUGUUGGGACUGUUACGCCUAACUAUUUUGAAAAACAGACUGGCCUGCAUUUCACGUUUUUAGAGUUUGUUCUAAGAGUAAGUUUAAGACAAUAAUAAAUUUUUCAUAUCCAUAUAGUUAUUUAUUUUG
ensembl:lncRNA